UCUCCUGGAAACGGGUGGUAAUGCCGGAUGCUCCAGUUGACCGCAUGGUCCUCUGGGAAAGCUUUUGCGGUAUGGGAUGGGGUCGCGUCCUAUCAGCUUGAUGGCGGGGUAACGGCCCACCAUGGCUUCGACGGGUAGCCGGCCUGAGAGGGCGACCGGCCACAUUGGGACUGAGAUACGGCCCAGACUCCUACGGGAGGCAGCAGUGGGGAAUAUUGCACAAUGGGCGCAAGCCUGAUGCAGCGACGCCGCGUGCGGGAUGACGGCCUUCGGGUUGUAAACCGCUUUUGACUGGGAGCAAGCCCUUCGGGGUGAGUGUACCUUUCGAAUAAGCACCGGCUAACUACGUGCCAGCAGCCGCGGUAAUACGUAGGGUGCAAGCGUUAUCCGGAAUUAUUGGGCGUAAAGGGCUCGUAGGCGGUUCGUCGCGUCCGGUGUGAAAGUCCAUCGCUUAACGGUGGAUCCGCGCCGGGUACGGGCGGGCUUGAGUGCGGUAGGGGAGACUGGAAUUCCCGGUGUAACGGUGGAAUGUGUAGAUAU
rnacentral:rRNA from 1 species